CUGCCUAUUAAUGGGGGACAACAUCUCGAAAGGGAUGCUAAUACCGCAUACGCCCUACGGGGGAAAGCAGGGGAUCACUUGUGACCUUGCGUUAAUAGAUGAGCCUAAGUCGGAUUAGCUAGUUGGUGGGGUAAAGGCCUACCAAGGCGACGAUCUGUAGCGGGUCUGAGAGGAUGAUCCGCCACACUGGGACUGAGACACGGCCCAGACUCCUACGGGAGGCAGCAGUGGGGAAUAUUGGACAAUGGGGGGAACCCUGAUCCAGCCAUGCCGCGUGUGUGAAGAAGGCCUUAUGGUUGUAAAGCACUUUAAGCGAGGAGGAGGCUCUUCUAGUUAAUACCUAGGAUGAGUGGACGUUACUCGCAGAAUAAGCACCGGCUAACUCUGUGCCAGCAGCCGCGGUAAUACAGAGGGUGCGAGCGUUAAUCGGAUUUACUGGGCGUAAAGCGUGCGUAGGCGGCUUUUUAAGUCGGAUGUGAAAUCCCCGAGCUUAACUUGGGAAUUGCAUUCGAUACUGGGAAGCUAGAGUAUGGGAGAGGAUGGUAGAAUUCCAGGUGUAGCGGUGAAAUGCGUAGAGAUCUGGAGGAAUACCGAUGGCGAAGGCAGCCAUCUGGCCUAAUACUGACGCUGAGGUACGAAAGCAUGGGGAGCAAACAGGAUUAGAUACCCUGGUAGUCCAUGCCGUAAACGAUGUCUACUAGCCGUUGGGGCCUUUGAGGCUUUAGUGGCGCAGCUAACGCGAUAAGUAGACCGCCUGGGGAGUACGGUCGCAAGACUAAAACUCAAAUGAAUUGACGGGGGCCCGCACAAGCGGUGGAGCAUGUGGUUUAAUUCGAUGCAACGCGAAGAACCUUACCUGGUCUUGACAUAGUAAGAACUUUCCAGAGAUGGAUUGGUGCCUUCGGGAACUUACAUACAGGUGCUGCAUGGCUGUCGUCAGCUCGUGUCGUGAGAUGUUGGGUUAAGUCCCGCAACGAGCGCAACCCUUUUCCUUAUUUGCCAGCACUUCGGGUGGGAACUUUAAGGAUACUGCCAGUGACAAACUGGAGGAAGGCGGGGACGACGUCAAGUCAUCAUGGCCCUUACGACCAGGGCUACACACGUGCUACAAUGGUCGGUACAAAGGGUUGCUACCUAGCGAUAGGAUGCUAAUCUCAAAAAGCCGAUCGUAGUCCGGAUUGGAGUCUGCAACUCGACUCCAUGAAGUCGGAAUCGCUAGUAAUCGCGGAUCAGAAUGCCGCGGUGAAUACGUUCCC
rnacentral:rRNA from 1 species